rnacentral:sRNA from 12 species
CACGGCCAGACCUAGUAAGCGCGAGCUGAACGCAGAGCCAUAGAGGAAGGAAGGCGCGACGGUCGGCCGCAAAGGCCGUGAAUCGGUACCCCGCGAGCGGCGGCGGACGCUGCUUGCAUGGCGGCGCGUUGUGCGUUCCGCGCCGUUUCAUGCCGCCGACUCACGCGGUUAGCAGAACGACACAUUGGAAACCGUGCGGGGUACACCAUGAAUUCAGAGGAAAG